CUGUUAACAAAAUCAUCAUCAAAGAGAAGGUCACGCAGCAAAAGUUGCUGUGUCGUGUUGCACUUUGAUUCUACGAACAGCUUACACUUCCCUAAAGCUCGCUCUGAGGAGCUGCAUAUGCAGUAUUAUGAUUGGACGGGUGUGAGCGAAUGAGCGACGCCCCCAUGCAGAACUCUAGAGUGGACCAAUCAGAGUGAGGGCAUUAUAGGAGCAUGCUGCCCUCAAAUCAUUAACCGUUCGGAAUGGAGAGCCCUCAAGUCUACCUGCAGCGCUCCCCUUAACACCGCCUUGAAAUACGCAGGGAUUCGCCACACUGAGAGCAGAUGUUGCUUCAACAUGAAAUCCUGCUUUCAGCAGGUGUGGAUUACCACAUGAGCAGCCGGGGCUGGCGUGACAUCGGCUACAG